rnacentral:rRNA from 2 species
UCUGAUGGAGCACGCCGCGUGAGUGAAGAAGGGUUUCGGCUCGUAAAACUCUGUUGUUAAAGAAGAACAUAUCUGAGAGUAACUGUUCAGGUAUUGACGGUAUUUAACCAGAAAGCCACGGCUAACUACGUGCCAGCAGCCGCGGUAAUACGUAGGUGGCAAGCGUUGUCCGGAUUUAUUGGGCGUAAAGCGAGCGCAGGCGGUUUUUUAAGUCUGAUGUGAAAGCCUUCGGCUCAACCGAAGAAGUGCAUCGGAAACUGGGAAACUUGAGUGCAGAAGAGGACAGUGGAACUCCAUGUGUAGCGGUGAAAUGCGUAGAUAUAUGGAAGAACACCAGUGGCGAAGGCGGCUGUCUGGUCUGUAACUGACGCUGAGGCUCGAAAGUAUGGGUAGCAAACAGGAUUAGAUACCCUGGUAGUCCAUACCGUAAACGAUGAAUGCUAAGUGUUGGAGGGUUUCCGCCCUUCAGUGCUGCAGCUAACGCAUUAAGCAUUCCGCCUGGGGAGUACGGCCGCAAGGCUGAAACUCAAAGGAAUUGACGGGGGCCCGCACAAGCGGUGGAGCAUGUGGUUUAAUUCGAAGCUACGCGAAGAACCUUACCAGGUCUUGACAUACUAUGCAAAUCUAAGAGAUUAGACGUUCCCUUCGGGGACAUGGAUACAGGUGGUGCAUGGUUGUCGUCAGCUCGUGUCGUGAGAUGUUGGGUUAAGUCCCGCAACGAGCGCAACCCUUAUUAUCAGUUGCCAGCAUUAAGUUGGGCACUCUGGUGAGACUGCCGGUGACAAACCGGAGGAAGGUGGGGGAUGACGUC